CAGCAGCUGCAGGAGCGGCGCCGCACGGGUCAGAGUCCCCUAAGCCAGCGCAGCGCCCACCACUGCUCCCCACGAUGAAAAUCCCGCCGACCCACUAUCCAGCCUCCAGGGCGGCCUCGGUGGCCGAGAACUGCAUCAACUACCAGCAGGGGACCCCCCACAAGGUGUUUCUGGUGCAGACGGUCAAACAAGCCAGCUUGGAGGAUAUUCCAGGAAGAGGACAUAAGUAUCACCUUAAAUUUUCUGUAGAAGAAAUUAUCCAUAAACAAGUUACAGUGAACUGCACUGCUGAAGUACUUUACCCUCCAAUGGGACAAGAAACUGCACCAGAAGUCAACUUCACAUUUGUAGGCGAAAUUGGGAAGAACCCAGAUGAAGAAGACAAUACAUUUUACCAAAGACUCAUGAAGAAACCACUAGAUGCACAAAAUAUUCCAGAUAGUUUUGGAAAUGUAUCUCCAGAAAUGAAGCCAGUUCGACAUUUAGCCUGGGUUGCCUGUGGUUAUAUAAUAUGGCAGAAUUCUACUGAAAACACCUGGUAUAAAAUGAUAAAAAUUCAAACUGUCAAGCAAGUGCAAAGA